CGAUUACGGGAGGCAGCAGGUGGGGAAUAUUGCGCAAGUGGGGGGAACCCUGACGCAGCCAUGCCGCGUGAAUGAAGAAGGCCUUCGGGUUGUAAAGUUCUUUCGGUAUUGAGGAAGGUUGAUGUGUUAAUAGUACAUCAAAUUGACGUUAAAUACAGAAGAAGCACCGGCUAACUCCGUGCCAGCAGCCGCGGUAAUAUCG
rnacentral:rRNA from 1 species